GACGAACGCUGGCGGCGUGCUUAACACAUGCAAGUCGAACGGAAAGGCCCUUCUUUGGAGGGGUGCUCGAGUGGCGAACGGGUGAGUAACACGUGAGUAACCUGCCCUGGACUUUGGGAUAACUUCGGGAAACUGGGGCUAAUACCGGAUAGGAGGUCGGGCUGCAUGGUGGGGGUGGGAGAGUUUCGGCGGUGGGGGAUGGACUCGCGGCUUAUCAGCUUGUUGGUGGGGUAGUGGCUUACCAAGGCUUUGACGGGUAGCCGGCCUGAGAGGGUGACCGGCCACAUUGGGACUGAGAUACGGUCCAGACUCCUACGGGAGGCAGCAGUGGGGAAUAUUGCACAAUGGGCGGAAGCCUGAUGCAGCAACGCCGCGUGCGGGAUGACGGCCUUCGGGUUGUAAACCGCUUUCGCCUGUGACGAAGCGUGAGUGACGGUAAUGGGUAAAGAAGCACCGGCUAACUACGUG
rnacentral:rRNA from 1 species